rnacentral:rRNA from 1 species
UAUCCAACCUCCCGCAUACUCGGGGAUAGCCUUCUGAAAGGAAGAUUAAUACCCGAUGGUAUCUCAAGAGCACAUGCAAUUAAGAUUAAAGAAUUUCGGUAUGCGAUGGGGAUGCGUUCCAUUAGGUAGUAGGCGGGGUAACGGCCCACCUAGCCAUCGAUGGAUAGGGGUUCUGAGAGGAAGGUCCCCCACAUUGGAACUGAGACACGGUCCAAACUCCUACGGGAGGCAGCAGUGAGGAAUAUUGGUCAAUGGGCGCGAGCCUGAACCAGCCAAGUAGCGUGAAGGAUGACUGCCCUAUGGGUUGUAAACUUCUUUUGUCCGGGAAUAAAACCGCCUACGUGUAGGCGCUUGUAUGUACCGGUACGAAUAAGCAUCGGCUAACUCCGUGCCAGCAGCCGCGGUAAUACGGAGGAUGCGAGCGUUAUCCGGAUUUAUUGGGUUUAAAGGGAGCGCAGACGGGUUUUUAAGUCAGCUGUGAAAGUUUGGGGCUCAACCUUAAAAUUGCAGUUGAUACUGGAGACCUUGAGUGCAGUUGAGGCAGGCGGAAUUCGUGGUGUAGCGGUGAAAUG